UACGAGGAUGUUUUUUAUGUCCUCCCAGA
rnacentral:piRNA from 1 species